GCCAGACUCCUACGGGAGGCAGCAGUGGGGAAUAUUGGGCAAUGGAGGAAGCUCUUACCCAGCAAUGCCGCGUGAAUGAAGAAGGUCUUCGGAUUGUAAAGUUCUUUAAUUGGGGACGAAAAAAAUGACGGUACCCAAGGAAUAAGCCCCGGCUAACUACGUGCCAGCAGCCGCGGUAAUACGUAUGGUGCAAGCGUUAUCCGGAUUUACUGGGUGUAAAGGGAGCGCAGGCGGCACGGCAAGCCUGAUGUGAAAGCCCGCGGCCCAACCGCGGGACUGCAUUGGGAACUACCGGGCUGGAGUGCCGGAGAGGUAGGCGGAAUUCCUAGUGUAGCGGUGAAAUGCGUAGAUAUUAGGAGGAACACCAGUGGCGAAGGCGGCCUACUGGACGGUGACUGACGCUGAGGCUCGAAAGCGUGGGGAGCAAACAGGAUUAGAUACCCUUGUACA
rnacentral:rRNA from 1 species